AUUGAACGCUGGCGGCAUGCUUUACACAUGCAAGUCGAACGGUAACAGGCCGCAAGGUGCUGACGAGUGGCGAACGGGUGAGUAAUGCAUCGGAACGUGCCCAGUCGUUGGGGAUAACUACUCGAAAGAGUAGCUAAUACCGCAUACGAUCUAUGGAUGAAAGCGGGGGACCGUAAGGGCUCGCGCGAUUGGAGCGGCCGAUGUCAGAUUAGGUAGUGGGUGGGGUAAAGGCUCACCAAGCCAACGAUCUGUAGCUGGUCUGAGAGGACGACCAGCCACACUGGGACUGAGACACGGCCCAGACUCCUACGGGAGGCAGCAGUGGGGAAUUUUGGACAAUGGGCGCAAGCCUGAUCCAGCAAUGCCGCGUGCAGGAAGAAGGCCUUCGGGUUGUAAACUGCUUUUGUGCGGAACGAAACGGCUCUGGUUAAUACCCGGGGCUAAUGACGGUACCGGAAGAAUAAGCACCGGCUAACUACGUG
rnacentral:rRNA from 1 species